CUUUAGUCAAAUCUGGUUGGGAGUAUCUAAACCAUAGAUCUUGAGAUAUGGAUAAAUUACAGUGGGGAAAUAGAAAAAGACUUAGGUGUUUUAAGGUGAAAGAUUCAACUUCAAAUGGGAAAUCUGAUGGAGGAAGAAGUCUUGUGGUGAAGAAGAAAAUUACAUCUAGAGUUGUUGAUAAUAACAAGGAGUCUGGUCAUCUUACUCUUCCUAUGUCUUCACCUCAUAGGCUUAACAGGGAUUUGGGUGUCAAUAGAUCUAACGCAAAUGAUCAUCGUAAGACAUCAGUAUCAUCUCCCGAGAAGGAGGACCGAUAUUAUACGACGAGAGGGUCGGUAGGCGUGGAUGAUAGUAGCAAGCUGUUGAUGGAACCAAGAGAGGAAAAGAAAAAGAUGGUUUGGCCUAAAUUGCUCAUCACAUUGUCAAGUAAAGAAAAAGAAGAGGAUUUUAUGGCCAUGAAAGGUUGCAAACUUCCUCAAAGGCCUAAGAAAAGGGCUAAAUUGACACAAAGAACCAUUCUUUUGGUGCAACCAGGUACAUGGUUGCAAGAUUUGUGUCAAGAAAGGUAUGAAGUGAGAGAGAAGAAGACCUCUAAGAAGAAACCGCGAGGAUUGAAAGCUAUGGGAAGCAUGGAAAGUGAUUCAGAAUGAAAUGUGAUGAAGAUAAAGAGUGAGUUAAGGAAACAAGACAGAGUCAGUGUAAAGCCAAGAUUGAUUUUUGGGAAUUAUUUUGGGAUAAUUGAAGAUGAUGGAAAGAAAUAUUUGGAUCUUUUGUACUUUAUUUUUUGGGGGGAAAGAGAAGGAAAGAAAAGUUGUGUAUUUUGACAUUAUUUUUCUUAAUUUUAG
rnacentral:misc_RNA from 1 species